rnacentral:lncRNA from 1 species
UUUGAUAAAUACAGCAAAUUGCUUUCUAAAAGUUGUUCAGUAAUUUUUGACCAAAUAGAGCUUCCAUGUUUUCAAAUUUUUUUGUCUUAUUUAGUAAUAUCCUUUUGUUUUACUCUUUAUUAAUCUAAUAGGGGUCCAUUUUUAUUAUCUAUUAGAUCAAUUUUUUUGCUACGUUUGUUUUCUAUUUGUAUAUCUUUAGAAAAUAUUCUCAUAAUAUUUGACUCACAAAACUUUAUAGGUAAUAAAAUAAGUCUGACAGAGAGGGUUAAGUUCUAAAAACAUGUAUAAUGGGUAAGAGAACAUAUGUGAAUGUAUGAUGAGAUUGAUUUAGUUAUCUUGCAGUGAUAUGUAACCAAUAAUUACCUUAUUAUCCUUACAAUACUAUAAAGUAGAUAUUAUUAUAAUCCUAACUUUGUGUUAGAAGCAGCUACAAUUUAGUGCUAAAGUUAGCGUCACAAGGCACACUGGUAGUCUGAAGGUUUGAAUGCACAAAGAACAUACGUUUAACUGCUAUAUAUUGCUUAAAUAAGGAUCUGAUUACGGAAAACCUCUAUCUAAGGAUGUCUACCUGGUCUUUAAAAUAAAUUUUUAUUAGUAUUAUUAUUAUUUUAAGAGACAGGGUCUUGCUCUGUCACUCAGGCUGUAGUGCAACUAUGUGAUCAUGGCUCACAGCAGCCUUGACCUCCUGGCCUCAAGUGAUCCUCCUACCUCUAAAAUAACAAAGUUGUGCCCAAUUAUAUUCUCUGCUCUUUCUGAAGUAUACAUCAGCAUGCUCACUUUUAUCUUGCUACUUCAAUCCCAUGCUUGUGUUAGCAGUAACAAUAAUCAGUCAUAAUUCACUAUUUUGUUUUAUAUUAGGCUCUCACACCCAAACCCCAAGUCCUCAUGCUCAAAAACCCAGGUUGCCUUGAUUUGGUAAUAAUUUUAGCCCAGAAUCCCUUU